GGCUCCCUGUCGGUUGUAAUUGAUAAUGUUGA
rnacentral:scRNA from 1 species